UAGGGAAUCUUCGGCAAUGGGGGGAACCCUGACCGAGCAACGCCGCGUGAGUGAAGAAGGUUUUCGGAUCGUAAAGUUCUGUUGUUAAGGAAGAACGAGUGUGAGAAUGGAAAGUUCAUGCUGUGACGGUACUUAACCAGAAAGGGACGGCUAACUACGUGCCAGCAGCCGCGGUAAUACGUAGGUCACGAGCGUUGUCCGGAUUUAUUGGGCGUAAAGCGAGCGCAGGCGGUUAGAAAAGUCUGAAGUGAAAGGCAGUGGCUCAACCAUUGUAGGCUUUGGAAACUGUUUAACUUGAGUGCAGAAGGGGAGAGUGGAAUUCCAUGGGUAGCGGUGAAAUGCGUAGAUAUAUGUAGGAACACCGGUGGCGAAAGCGGCUCUCUGGUCUGUAACUGACGCUGAGGCUCGAAAGCGUGGGGAGCGAACAGG
rnacentral:rRNA from 1 species